rnacentral:rRNA from 1 species
UACGUAGGGUGCGAGCGUUAAUCGGAAUUACUGGGCGUAAAGCGUGCGCAGGCGGUUUUGUAAGCCAGAUGUGAAAUCCCCGGGCUUAACCUGGGAAUGGCAUUUGGGACUGCAAGGCUCGAGUGCGGCAGAGGAGACUGGAAUUCCUGGUGUAGCAGUGAAAUGCGUAGAUAUCAGGAGGAAUACCGAUGGCGAAGGCAGGUCUCUGGGCUGACACUGACGCUCAUGCACGAAAAGCGUGGGGGAGCAAA